AUUGAACGCUGGCGGAAUGCUUUACACAUGCAAGUCGAACGGCAGCACGGGGGCAGCCCUGGUGGCGAGUGGCGAACGGGUGAGUAAUACAUCGGAACGUGCCCGGUCGUGGGGGAUAACGUAGCGAAAGUUACGCUAAUACCGCAUACGAUCUGAGGAUGAAAGCGGGGGACCUUCGGGCCUCGCGCGAUCGGAGCGGCCGAUGUCAGAUUAGGUGGUUGGUGGGGUAAAGGCCUACCAAGCCGACGAUCUGUAGCUGGUCUGAGAGGACAACCAGCCACAUUGGACCGGGGCACCGCCCAGACCUCUUAGGGGGGGCGGAGGGGGGAAAUUUGGGCAAAUGGGCGAAACCUUAUCCCAGCAAUCCGCGUGCAGGACGAAGGCCUUCGGGUUGUAAACUGCUUUUGUACGGAACGAAAAGGCUCUGGCUAAUACCUGGGGCUCAUGACGGUACCGUAAGAAUAAGCACCGGCUAACUACGUG
rnacentral:rRNA from 1 species